GGGGCGGUGCAAGCUGGCGGAACCCGCGUGAGCGAGGGAAAUGAAGGCAAAAAAGGUCAAUUCAUAGAAGAACUUAUAACCAAAUGGCAAAAGAAUGAUCAGGAGUUGAUUUCUGAUCCUUUGCAGCAGUGCUUCAAAAAAGAUGAAAUUUUAGAUGGGCAGAAAUCAGGCGACCAUCUAAAGCGGGGUAGGAAGAAAGGGAGAAACAGACAGGAAGUUCCUGCAUUUACUGAACCUGACACGACUGCAGAGGUUAAAACACCUUUUGAUUUGGCCAAGGCACAAGAGAACAGCAACUCCGUAAAGAAGAAGACAAAGUUUGUCAAUUUAUACACAAGAGAGGGACAGGACAGGCUUGCAGUCCUGCUCCCUGGUCGCCACCCUUGUGAUUGCCUGGGCCAGAAGCACAAGCUCAUCAAUAACUGUCUGAUCUGUGGGCGCAUUGUCUGUGAACAAGAAGGCUCAGGCCCUUGCUUAUUCUGUGGCACUCUGGUGUGUACUCAUGAGGAACAAGAUAUUUUACAGCGUGACUCAAACAAGAGCCAGAAACUGCUAAAGAAACUCAUGUCAGUAUUCGAAGGACCCAAGUCAUUGAUGAUGAGUCAGAUUACUUUGCCAGUGAUUCUAACCAAUGGUUGUCCAAACUUGAGCGGGAAACCUUGCAGAAGCGAGAGGAGGAGCUGAGAGAACUUCGACACGCCUCUCGACUUUCUAAGAAGGUCACCAUUGACUUUGCAGGAAGGAAGAUCCUGGAAGAAGAA
rnacentral:sRNA from 1 species